rnacentral:rRNA from 1 species
AACGAACGCUGGCGGCAGGCUUAACACAUGCAAGUCGAGCGCCCCGAAAGGGGAGCGGCAGACGGGUGAGUAACGCGGGGGAAUGUGCCCUUUGGUCUGGAAUAACUCAGGGAAACUUGAGCUAAUACCGGAUAAGCCCUUCGGGGGAAAGAUUUAUUGCCAUUGGAGCAGCCCGCGUCAGAUUAGCUAGUUGGUGAGGUAAAAGCUCACCAAGGCGAUGAUCUGUAGCUGGUCUGAGAGGACGACCAGCCACACUGGGACUGAGACACGGCCCAGACUCCUACGGGAGGCAGCAGUGGGGAAUAUUGGACAAUGGGGGCAACCCUGAUCCAGCCAUGCCGCGUGAGUGAUGAAGGCCUUAGGGUUGUAAAGCUCUCUUACUCGGGAAGAUAAUGACUGUACCGAGAGAAUAAGCCCCGGCUAACUUCGUGCCAGCCGCCGCGGUAA